GAUGAACGCUGGCGGCGUGCCUAAUACAUGCAAGUCGAGCGAAUGGAUUAAGAGCUUGCUCUUAUGAAGUUAGCGGCGGACGGGUGAGUAACACGUGGGUAACCUGCCCAUAAGACUGGGAUAACUCCGGGAAACCGGGGCUAAUACCGGAUAACAUUUUGAACCGCAUGGUUCGAAAUUGAAAGGCGGCUUCGGCUGUCACUUAUGGAUGGACCCGCGUCGCAAUAGCUAGUUGGUGAGGUAACGGCACACCAAGGCAACGAUGCGUAGCCGGCCUGAGAGGGUGAUCGGCCACACAGCGACUGAGCACCGGCCCAGACUCCUACGGGAGGCAGCAGUAGGGAAUCUUCCGCAAUGGCCGAAAGUCUGACGGGGCAACGCCGCGUAAGUGAUGAAGGCUUUCGGGUCGUAAAACUCUGUUGUUAGGGAAGAACAAGUGCUAGUUGAAUAAGCUGGCACCUUGACGGUACCUAACCAGAAAGCCACGGCUAACUACGUGCCAGCAGCCGCGGUAA
rnacentral:rRNA from 1 species